CAAGUCGUGGGGCAGCAGGGGCGUAGCAAUACGUUCGCUGGCGACCGGCAAACGGGUGCGGAACACGUACACAACCUUCCUUAAAGUGGGGGAUAGCCCGGGGAAACCCGGAUUAAUACCCCGUAACAUAGUGAAGUGGCAUCGCUUUAUUAUUAUAGCAGCAAUGCGCUUAAAGAUGGGCGUGCGACUGAUUAGGCAGUUGGCGGGGUAACGGCCCACCAAACCUACGAUCAGUAACUGGUGUGAGAGCACGACCAGUCACACGGGCACUGAGACACGGGCCCGACUCCUACGGGAGGCAGCAGUAAGGAAUAUUGGUCAAUGGACGCAAGUCUGAACCAGCCAUGCCGCGUGGAGGAUGAAGGUCCUCUGGAUUGUAAACUUCUUUUAUCUGGGAAGAAAUCCACAAAUUCUUUUGUGGUUGACGGUACCAGAUGAAUAAGCACCGGCUAACUCCGUGCCAGCAGCCGCGGUAAUACGGAGGGUGCAAGCGUUAUCCGGAUUCACUGGGUUUAAAGGGUGCGUAGGUGGGUUGGUAAGUCAGUGGUGAAAUCUCCAGGCUUAACUUGGAAACUGCCAUUGAUACUAUCAAUCUUGAAUACCGUGGAGGCCAGCGGAAUAUGUCAUGUAGCGGUGAAAUGCUUAGAGAUGACAUAGAACACCAAUUGCGAAGGCAGCUGGCUACGCGGAUAUUGACACUGAUGCACGAAAGCGUGGGGAUCAAACAGGAUUAGAUACCCUGGUAGUCCACGCCCUAAACGAUGGAUACUCGACAUACGCGAUAUACUGUGUGUGUCUGAGC
rnacentral:rRNA from 1 species